rnacentral:rRNA from 1 species
CACGUAGGGGGCGAGCGUUGUCCGGAUUUAUUGGGCGUAAAGAGCUCGUAGGCGGUUCGGUAAGUCGGGUGUGAAACCUCCAGGCUCAACCUGGAGUCGCCACUCGAUACUGCUGUGACUAGAGUCCGGUAGGGGAGCGCGGAAUUCCUGGUGUAGCGGUGAAAUGCGCAGAUAUCAGGAGGAACACCAGCGGCGAAGGCGGCGCUCUGGGCCGGAACUGACGCUGAGGAGCGAAAGCGUGGGUAGCAAACAGG